rnacentral:miRNA from 1 species
CACCGACUCUGUCUCCUGCAG